AAAUUCUGCCCUAUGAAUAAUUUAAAUGGCUCGCAGUAUUUUAACUGUACAAAGGUAGCAUAAUAAUUAGUCUUUUAAUUGAGGACUGGAAUGAAAGAUUAAAUGAGAAAUUUAUUUUAUUAAUUUUAAUUUUUGAAUUUUAUUUUUAGGUAAAAAAGCUUAAUUACUUUUUUGGGACGAAAAGACCCUAUAGAACUUUAUUUAAUUAAAUUAAUUUUAUUUUAAUUUAACAAUUUUAGAUUUAAAUUAAAUUUUGUUGGGGUGACAAAUAAAAUAAUCUUUAUUUUUAAAAUUCAUUAAUAUAUGAUUUUAUUGAUUUAAAUAUUAAUUAAAAGAUUAAGUUACCUUAGGGAUAACAGCGUAAUUUUUAUGGGGAGUUCAUAUCUAUAUAAAAGUUUGCGACCUCGAUGUUGAAUUAAGGUAAAUUGAUAAAGAAGUAUUUAUUAUAUUAAGUC
rnacentral:rRNA from 1 species